rnacentral:rRNA from 1 species
UACGGAGGGUGCGAGCGUUGUCCGGAAUCACUGGGCGUAAAGGGCGCGUAGGCGGCCGUGUAAGUCACCUGUGAAAUCCCGGGGCUCAACUCCGGGGCUGCAGGUGAGACUGCGUGGCUAGAGCACGGUAGAGGCGAGUGGAAUUCCCGGUGUAGCGGUGGAAUGCGUAGAUAUCGGGAAGAACACCGGUGGCGAAGGCGAGUUCCUGGACAGUUACUGACGCUGAGGCACGAAGGCCAGGGGAGCAAACGGG